UAGACAAUCAUUUGGACAUGUAAUCAACAACAGAGCAGAGUAAGUAGUAGCAGUAGUACUAAAAGGAUUCUCUCCACUUAUUUAUCAGUCUAUUGGAGAAACUUAAGACUUACAUUACAUGAUGACCUUAAAAGAUAUUCUACAAGCUAAUGACAUUAUCCAUCCAUUUGUGUGAAUGACCAGGAUGUAACACCAAACAUUUCUUUUUAGACAAUACAGUUCCACCAAGUUAGGCAAACCCCAAAGGGUAACUUUGACUGGUUCCUAGUAAAAGCAAAAGGCAGACCCCAUAAGAGAGAGAGAGGGAGAGAUACUCAAACUGUAAAAAGAACUCCUAUGAAUUUCACUGCUGCAGCUGCUGUUACUGCUGCUGCUUUCGACGGAAAGAACACGUCGAUAAGGAGCAUCCGAGUGAGAGCAGGCUCAAUGAUACCAUAAUGUAAUGUCCUGCUGUUUCGACAGUGUAUCGAUGGCUGCUACUCCGGGUACUUCUUCUUUGUAGUCGAAGGUCGACAAAUCAAAUGGAGAGCCAAACAUUAAGUGGAAAUUGUUGUUGUUGUUAUUGUUGUGCUGAUGGUGGUUGUUUUCGAAAGGUGAAUUCAUUGGCUUAAACCGGUCGAAUUGGCCUUCAUCUCUUGUGAACAUUUGAUGGCUGCUCGAAACAUUUGAACCCUCGAAGAAGUUUCCCUCGAUCAUUAGACCUUGAUUGCGGAAGUAUUCGUCUUGUUGAGGUUGGAUCUUUAACUGAGAAAGAUUUUGGUUUUCCGUGAUGGCACCAUUACCGGUGUUUACGUUGUUCUUGUUGCCUUGGAUGUUGGUGUCAUAGAUAGACAUGAGCUCACUGAUCAGCUUUUGGCCAUCUUCUGGAACGCCUAAAGCAGACAGGUCGAAGGAUGAUGGAACUGAGCUGACCGGCGGUGGAGCUGACUUGGGUGGGGCAAACGACUGAGGGAAGAUAACCGGUUUAACCUCGUUGACAUGAAAACUUGAGCCACUGAAUUCUGAAGAAGUUCUAUAUGUACAGGUCAACUGAUGAUUGUCUCUGGAUGUCCUGUCAUUAAACCCGAGACGAAGUUCGCUAUAAGGACACUGGAGGAACUCACAAGUAUAGAUCUUCUGAUCCAUCAUCAUAUUCAGAUCGCUGGUCGGUUUCCUCUUUCGCAUAAAAUCCAAGUUUGCAGGAACCUCUCCUUUGAUUGCAUAAGGUGGUUGUCGAAGGGGCACCCGUUCUCUCAUUCUGUCCAUUCCCAAGUUGAAUGAGCCAUGGUUAUCAGGUUUUCGAUCUUGAACAUCAAAGCUCGGUUCCUCCUCAGCGCCUUCUACAUCGUAUUCGCUGCAAUCGUUAAUGACCAAUGAUCCACUACCCCCACCGGAAGACAGAGGCGGGCAAGAGUCGGGAUAAAGCUCCCGGGCCAAGAUCUCCUCCUGGUUGAUAAUAGCAAGCCAUGUCGCACUCUCCUUGGCGGUCAUCUUGUCCUGCAAACACUUG
rnacentral:misc_RNA from 1 species